rnacentral:misc_RNA from 1 species
ACGUAUCCGAGGCGUGGCGCGCGGUUCCCGGCUCCGGCCCAAACGGCCGUGCAGCGGGAGCCCGCCCCGUCCAACCUCACAAACCACCGUGAACCUUUACGGCGGAAGGAGGGGCGACCCUCUGGAAGCCGCAUACCCAAACCCCAGUUUGCAAAGAAUGUCGUGCGGACUUGAGCCGCCUAAACAACGUAA